AAUACCCGCAUCGGGUCGGUAUUACUAUUGAAAUUAUAUCCUGUACUUAGGCUUUUUAAUUUAAAUGGACUCUCGUUAAAUUAUUGUUCUGUGAGAACAUUAUUAACAUUUUUAUCUCCACAGGAUAUAAAAUAGAGGUAAGGAAAUAAUAUUCACGUCAACUAUUUAAUUUAAAGGUGUUUACAACCCUGUGGGAACAUUACUAUAUUUUUAAUUUUCAAGUUUGAAAGAAGAUUUGAAGCAAUUAAAUAGGAAAGUGAACCGAUUGGAAGAGGGGAACACUAAUCAAGCAUUUAAUGACCUUAAGGAUCUUCUGUCAUCAUCUGAAGUGCUGGCCUUUCAGCGCUCAUCAUACACAGCAUUUCACACGUGGUAUAUCCUUCCUAGUUUCGAACAUUCAUGGUAAUAGGGAUUUCCGAGAUGCCAGAGGGAAUGAAAUAAAUGCGCUUACAAUGUUGGAUGUAUUGUCAUAACCACAAAUGAAUACUAAAUGUAUGGAACUAUGAAUGCUUUGUAUUAACUUGAACGUGGAUAUCGAUGGCCCUCUUUAUGCUAAUUUAUGGACUCCGGAACUAUCGACUAUCGAUAAUAAAUUUAUAUUGGAUACAUAUCAUUAUAUUGGACAAUUUAUAUUGGAUGAAUAUCAUAAUAAUGGACAUAUGCACCCUGAUCUGCGGGACGCAGAUAAUUAGAUGGGGAAGAGUUAAGACUAUCGACAAUCUAAGGCGGCUGGAGAGUCCAGUCAGACAUUCAAAGGUAGAACCCAACCAGUAGAACUGAUUUGGGGCUGUUCAUAUUCGGACUAGAGAGAGUUUAGAUCUAUUGUUACUAAAUUAUAUAAAAUAUAUUAUUUCUUUGAA